UACGGAAGGCAGCAGUGGGGAAUAUUGCACAAUGGGCGAAAGCCUGAUGCAGCUAUGCCGCGUGUAUGAAGAAGGCCUUAGGGUUGUAAAGUACUUUUCAUCGGGGAGGAAAAAACAAAACUAAUAAUUUUAUUUCUUGACGUUACCCGAAAAAGAAGCACCGGCUAACUCCGUGCCAGCAGCCGCGGUAAUACGGAGGGUGCUAGCGUUAAUCAGAAUUACUGGGCGUAAAGAGCACGUAGGUGGUUUUUUUAAGUCAGAUGUGAAAUCCCUGGGCUUAACCUAGGAACUGCAUUUUGAAACUGAAAUACUAGAGUAUCGUAGAGGGAGGUAGAAUUCUAGGUGUAGCGGUGAAAUGCGUAGAUAUCUGGAGGAAUACCUGUGGCGAAAGCGGCCUCCUAAACGAAUACUGACACUGAGGUGCGAAAGCGUGGGGAGCAAACAGGGAUUAGAUACC
rnacentral:rRNA from 1 species